CUUAAAUUUAUAACAAGAAAUCCAACGCAGUCAAUUUUAUUGGAACAAUAAGGCAAAUAAUGCGGAAUCAAAGACACUUGACGAAUUUAUAUUUUAAAUCAUCGGAACCGGAUAUUGCAGAAGCUAAUGAGAGUAUACGUCAGUCAUAAAAUUCAUAUAUAGUUUCAUACUGCGUCAUGUAAAUUAAUAUUAUAAGAGCGAUGACGGCAAACAGUAAGAGAAGCACGAGUAUUGUUACCACCACUUCCCCAAUCCACUGUCGUAGUUCUAAAGGUUGUUUUGUAACUAUGGUAAAAAUUCAGUGUUAUUGUAAAACUCGCUUUAAAACCACACUGACCGUUUUGACAGAAAUCGCCGGAGAAUUGAUUUCCACAAGAACAUUUUACGUUCGUUCCAUCCAUGAAACAAGUUCCACCGUUUUUACAUGGUGUAGAUUCGCAAAGUUAUAUCCACCGAAGCCAUCUAAACAAGAGCAGAUAUAAUGGUUUGGAAGUUUAGUACAUGUUCCAUCGUUUUGACAGGGCGAACUCGAACACGAAUCUGGCGGUUGCGACGCAAGUAUCGUACGAUCCCACCAAUACCACGUCGUCGAUGCAGCUGGCCUGUAUCCUCCAAUCCAAUAACCUACUGCCCAUGGCCCUCUCCACAAAGACUUGUUUAUGGAAGAAUUUAGGAAUAAUACUCACCUUGCCCUAACACUAUAUGAGCGAAAGAGAAGAUAAAUACGACAGCAGAUAGUAAACCCAUCUAGCUGU